rnacentral:rRNA from 1 species
UACGGAGGGUGCGAGCGUUGUCCGGAAUCACUGGGCGUAAAGGGCGCGUAGGCGGCGCGGGCAGUCAACGGUGAAAGCUCGGGGCUCAACUCCGAGUCGGCCGUCGAUACUCCCGUGCUCGAGCACUGUAGAGGCAGGUGGAAUUCCGGGUGUAGCGGUGGAAUGCGUAGAUAUCGGGAGGAACACCGGUGGCGAAGGCGGCAGCCUGGGUUGACACUGACGCUGAGGCGCGAAAGCGUGGGGAGCAAACAGG